GCCCUGCUGCUGGCGGGGAGGGCGGCCGGGAGGCCUCUGGAGACGCCCGAGCUCCGAGCUCCUGUGGGCAGGGCCGCUGGAGACCGGAGUGGGGCUGCUGAGCCGCCUGCUGGGAGCUGGGAAGCGGCCCCUCUGGCAGGAUGAAGCUGUUGGCCUGGGCCCUGCGCCUCCGCCUCCCCGGGCUCACCGGGCGGGCACCUGCCUGGGAGCGCCUGGGGCCCCGGAGCUCCGCGGGGCUGCGGCCGCCACGCGGGGCCUCCGUCCGGGCUUUUGGAAGCAAGUGUGGACCUUCUGCCUCUGGAAGGAUCAUGCGGCCCGACGACGCCAAUGUGGCCGGCAACGUGCACGGAGGGACCAUCCUGAAGAUGAUCGAGGAGGCGGGGGUCAUCAUCAGCACCCGGCACUGCAACAGCCAGAACGGGGAACGCUGCGUGGCCGUCCUGGCCCGGGUCGAGCGCACCGACUUCCUGUCGCCCAUGUGCAUCGGCGAGGUGGCGCACGUCAGCGCGGAGAUCACCUACACCUCCAAGCACUCGGUGGAGGUGCAGGUCCACGUCAUGUCUGAGAACAUCCUCACAGGUACCAAGAAGCUGACCAAUAAGGCCACCCUGUGGUACGUGCCCCUGUCGCUGAAGAAUGUGGACAAGGUCCUGGAGGUGCCUCCGGUUGUGUACUCCCGGCAGGAGCAGGAGGAGGAGGGCCGCAGGCGCUACGAGGCCCAGAAGCUGGAGCGCAUGGAGACCAAGUGGAGGAACGGGGACAUCGUCCAGCCCAGCCUGAACCCAGAGCCGAACACGGUCAGCUACAGCCAGUCCAGCUUGAUCCACCUGGUGGGGCCUUCGGACUGCACGCUGCAUGGCUUCGUGCACGGAGAUUCCUGCUCAGACAACACAGGCCUUGAAGUUCCCAGCUCGGGAAACACAGCGGGCACACAAGAGGACUUAUUAGACGCAGGCGUCACCAUGAAGCUCAUGGACGAGGUUGCCGGCAUUGUGGCCGCACGGCACUGCAAGACCAACAUCGUCACGGCUUCUGUGGACGCCAUCAACUUUCACGACAAGAUCAGAAAAGAAAUGGCUGUGCCCAACCCGCAGAGCUCCCUGCUAUGUCAUCACCAUCUCGGGGCGCAUGACCUUCACGAGCAAUAAGUCCAUGGAGAUCGAGGUCCUGGUGGACGCCGACCCCGUGGUGGACAACACACAGCCGCGCUACCGGGCGGCCAGUGCCUUCUUCACCUACGUGUCCCUGAGCCAGGAGGGCAGGUCACUGCCGGUGCCCCAGCUCGUGCCCGAGACCGAGGACGAGAAGAAGCGCUUUGAGGAAGGCAAAGGGCGGUACCUGCAGAUGAAGGCGAAGCGGCAGGGCCAGGUGGACCCUCAGCCCUAGAUGCCUCCUCCCCCUGCUGGGCUCGGAGCAGCCCCAGCACCCCAUCACUUAGAAGUUACCCCCUUGGCCAAAACCCACUUCCCGUUGAGAGCUGGUGUUGUGUGCAGUGUUUGUCUCGCAGUGUUAACCUGCCUUCCCGAAUAUACACCAAAGCUUUAUUUAUAUAUCCCGUUGUCCUCCUCACAGCAUCGUCCCGGCCCACACGCCCUGGCGCUGGGGAGCAUUCCGCGCAGUGCGGUCUGUCAGGACUCCAGCUUCACUAAUAAAGCUGCUGUUCAGCUGGA